rnacentral:tRNA from 1 species
GGGAGUAUAGCUCAGUGGUAGAGUGUGUGCUUAGCACGCCCAAGACCUUGGGUUCAAUCCCCAGGACCUCCA